AUCAGACGUGUUGUCAGAUGCGCAGUAUCAUCAGCGUCUCUGUCCCUGUUUGGUCAAAGGAGAGAACUCGACGAAGGAAUCAUUGGGGCAUGCACUAAACAUCCACCUUUUCAACUAGAGGUCCGGUCACAAAGAAAAUAUCAAUGGAACUGUUAUCUACCCUAAACAAACAUUUGAUAGUGGGAGGUCCUGGAUACUCCACUGGUUACAGUAAAGUACACCAAAACAAAAAAAGGCUCAUCYUCUGCAACUGUGAGAGAAGGCCCCCCACUUAGUGUAUUUGACAAGCUGAGUUGGACACUCAGUAUGACAGGGUGUCAGUUUGUCAAAUACCCCAAGUGAGGGGUCACUUGUCUGCUGAGCAUCUCCCACCAGACUGACUUCAAAGAAGAUCACUUCAUAAACCUUCAAGUGACUUUCACUGUUACCCCGUUAGACUUUCUCAGGCAAAACAUUUGAUUGUGUGAAAAUGUACUGUGAUAGUGUACAUGAUCCUGCACUGUCACUAAUGUCUCAUGUAUUCGUGUAAGUUUGUAUGAUGACACUUGGUACACUGUGUAACAAAUGUGUUUUCCCUGUAUUAAAUACUGCAUAAGUACUGGGUAAACUUGA